rnacentral:rRNA from 1 species
AGCGGAGGAAAAGAAACCAACAGGGAUUGCCCUAGUAACGGCGAGUGAAGCGGCAACAGCUCAAAUUUGAAAGCUGGCCUUCGGGUCCGCAUUGUAAUUUGUAGAGGAUGCUUUGGGUGAAACGCCAGUCUAAGUUCCUUGGAACAGGACGUCAUAGAGGGUGAGAAUCCCGUAUGUGACUGGAAAUGUUAACCUAUGUAAAGCUCCUUCGACGAGUCGAGUUGUUUGGGAAUGCAGCUCUAAAUGGGAGGUAAAUUUCUUCUAAAGCUAAAUAUUGGCGAGAGACCGAUAGCGCACAAGUAGAGUGAUCGAAAGAUGAAAAGCACUUUGGAAAGAGAGUUAAAAAGCACGUGAAAUUGUUGAAAGGGAAGCGCUUGCAAUCAGACUUGUUUAAACUGUUCGGCCGGUCUUCUGACCGGUUUACUCAGUUUGGACAGGCCAGCAUCAGUUUCGGCGGCCGGAUAAAGGCUCUGGGAAUGUGGCCUUCACUUCGGUGAAGGUGUUAUAGCCCAGGGUGUAAUACGGCCAGCCGGGACUGAGGUCCGCGCUUCGGCUAGGAUGCUGGCGUAAUGGUUGUAAGCGACCCGUCUUGA